rnacentral:lncRNA from 1 species
AUUCUGUCCUCAUCAUCCCGCUCUGUCUAGUAGCUCUGGAUUUCCUUCCUUGGGGCAGACUUUUACUCUUUGGCUCCGCUCUGCUAAAUAGCUCCGCCUUCUGGCGAAUUGUCUCUGACGUGUGGCUCCGCGCUCUGGCUCCAAUAGCUUAGCUCUGACUCUGGAUCUGGCGAUUUGGCUCUGGCUCUGACUCUAACGACUUAGCUCUGACUCUGGAUCUGGCGACUUGGCUCUGGCUCUGACUUUAAUGACUUAGCUCUGGCAUCUCUGCUCUGGCAGCUCUGCUCUGGCAACUUGGCUCUGGCCCUCUGGAAGCUCUGCUCUGGUUAGCUCUGGCUCUGGCAGCUUUGCUCUGGAAGCUCUGCUCUGGCAACUCUGCUCUGGAAGCUUUGCUCUGGCAUCUCUGCUCUGGUUAGCUCUGGCUCUGGCAUCUCUGCUCUGGCUAGCUCUGGCUCUGGC